rnacentral:lncRNA from 1 species
UCGGUUGAUUUUUGCGAUUGAUGAAGAAAAAGUGGCGUCGUUAAUUAGCUUUGAGCUUUCUGACAGUUACUUGUUGAUCAUAUGCAGAGUGAGAGCGAGAGCUGCUACAGAACGAUCAAAGAAUCAUGGGAUCUGAUCGCUCACACGACAACCCAACCCGGAGGAUUGCACAAGCUGCAGAGGUCGUUUCACCUAUGCAAGUAAGUAAAGUAGCAGCACACCACACCAGACAAAAAAAAAAGCUCUUUGAGUCAUUUCGUCGAACAGCCGUUGGUCAACUUGCAAGUUGGUUAAACUCGAGUAUUCUCUUUUUCAACGAUUUCGUGGUUCUCAGGAAGGAGGAUGCGACAUACCUGUCAGGGUGGCUACGUACGGCGUGGGUGUACACAGCGAUGACUGAUUAUCCAACUGCCUCGAAUUUUCUGGCGCCAUUGCCGGCUUAUCCGGUGAG